CGGGAACAGUGGGCGCUUCCACUGAAAGAUUAGGGCGGAGCCGGUGCAUGGAGCGACCUCUGCUGGACUGGAGGUCCAUGACAAGGAGUAGAGCGCUAGAUAAUGGGGUGAAUACUGCGGUUGUGUUUCUGUCACAGCAGGUGCAGGUCAGAGUGUCGUGAGCCACAGCAAGUCACAUUUGGAAUGCUACAUAUAUCACAGUCAGCUGGAUGCAACGAGGACAGUGUCUCCCAUUGAAUAAAAAAGAACACCCAUUGACGCAGGACAGACUGCCUCUGAUCACCUGACUUGUGAUGUUAGGUCUUGACGCACUGCAACCUGACCACUCUCUGUAAACCCUUGAGAUGGUUGUGCGUGAAAAUACCAGUUGCUGCCAUGUGAUUGGCUGGUUACCUAUUUGUGUUAACAAGAAAAUAAACAGAUGUACAUAAUGAAGUGGCCUGUGAAUUAAUUCAGUGGUCCCUCAACUUACAAUGGCCUCAACAUACAAUAUUUGUAACAUACAAUGGUCUUUUCUGGACCAUUGUAACCUGAAACCAGACUCAACAUACAAUGUACAGACAGUCCAGAUCUGUGAAACGUGUCAGAAUGGGCAUUUUACUGGUUAAACACCUGUAUUCCUAAAUUGCAUGCUCUGACUGGCUGUCUGGUGGUGCCCCCUACAGUACAGGGAGGUACAACAUGUUCUGUACUACUCUUAACCUGUGCCAGGGAUAGCUGCUCCAGGUGAGGGCAGCUCAAUUUUACUUUUUUUUGGGACACAGUGUGUUCUGUACAGGACCCUGAAGAAGCUCCUGUCCUCUACAUAGACAGUGAUUUACAACUCCCAGCAGCUCUUUCUUACUUUUAUAUGUAAGAACUUGCUUUAUCUGUUUGAGUUAUCUACUUAUUUUUGCUUAAUCCUCACUUUUUCCUAUUUUUGGAUUACAUUUUGGUGGCUUCAGAAACAAUUACCAGGUUUCAUUUAGAUAGGGGUAAGAUAGUUUUCAAUGGUCAACCCCUUUAAACAGUUUGACAAAGGGAGGUAAUUCUGAGGGACACGCCCCCCCCCCCCCCCUAGUUGAUCAAGUGGGGGCUGAAACAUUCAUGUUGUUGAGGCCUAGGCGACUGACCUUUAAAUCACCUCAAAUCUCCAAGCAUUGCAAGUGCUGGGCUGAAUUGUUAUCUUAUUCUUAGUUUUAUGGCCUGUUUUUUUCUGAGUGGGCUAGAGACCUCUUGUUUCAGGCCCUGGCUCAAAAAGGUUAACCCCUUAAGGACCAAGCCCAUUUUCACCUUAAGGACCAGGCCAAUUUAAUGUUUUAGUUUUUCCCUCCUCGCCUUCUAAAAUCCAUAACUCUUUUAUAUUUCCAUCUACAGACACAUAUAAGGGCUUGUUUUUUGCGUGACCAAUUGUACUUUGUAAUGAAACCUCAUUUUACCAUAAAAUGUACAGCGAACCCAAAAAAAUAUUUUUUUAGGGAGGAAAUUUAAAUGAAAACCACACUUUUGCACAUUUUGGAGGGUUUCGUUUUCACACUGUACACUUUACGGUAAAAAUGACGUGUUCUUUAUUCUGUGGAUCAAUACGAUUAAAAUGAUACCUAUGGCUAGAUACUUUUAUAUUUUUGUACCGCUUAAAAAAAGUCAAAAUCUUUUUGUACAAAAUCAGUAAUCUAAAAUCGCCCUAUUUUGACCACCUAUAACUUUUUCAUUUUUCCGUAUAUAGGGCGGUAUGAGGGCU